UACGUAGGGGGCUAGCGUUGUCCGGAAUCAUUGGGCGUAAAGCGCACGUAGGCGGCUUUCUAAGUCAGGGUGAAUCCUGGAGCUCAACUCCAGAACUGCCUUUGAUACUGGGGAGCUCGAGUCCGGAAGAGGUGAGUGGAACUCCGAGUGUAGAGGUGAAAUUCGUAGAUAUUCGGAAGAACACCAGUGGCGAAGGCGGCUACACUGGUCCGGUACUGACGCUGAGGUGCGAAAGCGUGGGGAGCAAACAGG
rnacentral:rRNA from 1 species